rnacentral:rRNA from 1 species
UACGGGGGGAGCAAGCGUUGUUCGGAUUUACUGGGCGUAAAGGGCGCGUAGGCGGCCAUCUAAGUCAGACGUGAAAUCCCCCGGCUUAACCUGGGAACUGCGUCUGAUACUGGACGGCUUGAGUUCGGGAGAGGGAUGCGGAAUUCCAGGUGUAGCGGUGAAAUGCGUAGAUAUCUGGAGGAACACCGGUGGCGAAGGCGGCAUCCUGGACCGACACUGACGCUGAGGAGCGAAAGCCAGGGGAGCAAACGGG